AUACGUAGGGGGCGAGCGUUGUCCGGAAUUACUGGGCGUAAAGGGCGUGUAGGCGGCUAAGCAAGUCAGCUGUGAAAGGCCCUGGCUCAACUGGGGUUUUGCAGUUGAAACUGUUUAGCUUGAGUGCAGGAGAGGAGGGUGGAAUUCCUGGUGUAGCGGUGAAAUGCGUAGAUAUCAGGAGGAACACCGGUGGCGAAGGCGACCUUCUGGCCUGUUACUGACGCUGAGGCGCGAAAGCUAGGGGAGCGAACAGGAUUAGAUACCCUGGUAGUCCUAGCCGUAAACGCUGGGUACUAGGUGUAGGCGGUUUAGAUACUGUCUGUGCCGCAGUUAACGCAUUAAGUACCCCGCCUGGGGAGUACGGUCGCAAGGCUGAA
rnacentral:rRNA from 1 species